GACGAACGCUGGCGGCGUGCCUAAUACAUGCAAGUCGAACGCAGUGGGGACGGGUGAGUAACACGUGGGUAACCUCCCCAUCAGAGGGGAUAACACUUGGAAACAGGUGCUAAACCGAUAUUGAUGGAUGGACCCGGGGUGCAUUAGCUCGUUGGUGAGGUAACGGCUCACCAAGGCCACGAUGCAUAGCUGACCUGAGAGGGUGAUCGGCCACACGGGAACUGAGACACGGCCCAGACUCCGACGGGAGGCAGCAGUAGGGAAUAUUCGACAAUGGACGAAAGUCUGACCGAGCAACGCCGCGUGAGUGAAGAAGGUUUGCGGAUUGUAAAGCUCUGUUGUUAGAGAAGCGGUAUCUAACCAGAAAGCAACGGCUAACUACGUGCCAGCAGCCGCGGUAAUUC
rnacentral:rRNA from 1 species